UUGAAUUAUAAGUGAAAUAUAAAUAUAAGUCUUUAUUCAAUUACAUUACAUUCCAAAUUAAACCAAAAUAAUAGACCAAGAGAUCAACAACAAAGCAAAGAUUAAGAUUCCCAUCCAUCUACUAAUGUAGCAAGAUAAUACAAUUAUUUCUACUGCACAAUAUUUGUUGAUCUUUUCAGAUUUAUUUUGGUGCUCUAUGAUAGAGUGAGAUAGACAGGAGUUAUGGGCGAGAGAGGGGAGGACAUGCAGCAAAGGACCGCGGGUAGGAAUCGACCCGGGGCGCUGCGGGGAGGACUGGCCCCUAAAUGUUACGCGCUCUAACCGGUGAGCCCCACUGCGCAGUUUUACACAUCUUUAUCGUGAAUAUUUUCAUUGACUGGAACAUUUCUGCCACUGUCUUCGCAAUAUUUUUCCAUGAAUAAAUAUGGGCUGUGAUAUUUGUUGUCUGUAGAUCAGGUUUCAGACUCAAAUGGAGACUCAAACUCAGGUUGAGGAGGUUAAACCAAAAUGAUCUUAAUCUCUGCAGAUCUAUCAGAAAUAAUGAUUGCCAGCAAACAAAAGUUUAAUCAUUAACUAGGACACUUACUAGACUUGCUUAGCUACAGGACGGGACCUUCAGACAAACGGAUAACAAACGGAGGGCUUAACAACACAUGAGGACACAAUUAACAAAUCAACAAAUCAAACCAGGAGGAAGUAAUUCUAGAUAACGAUGGGAAGGAAAAGAAUAACUGAGGACAUCUGGAGGAAGAAACUAAAACGACACAAAGACAAACAACCGUUGAAACUGUGACAGGUUGGUUGUAUAAUUAUCAUGGGCAGCCAUUUCCUGCAUCCCCUGGUAUUAAUAAAAAAGAAACACCUACUAUCAUCAAUAGGCUAAGGUGCUCCUUCAGAACUACAAUAAAAUAUUUCAGAAUUACAAUAAACUACUUCUGAUUCACAAUAAACUCAUUCAAAAUCACAAAAUGUUGUUCCUUCAGAACUACAAUAAAAAUAUUUAGAACUACAGUAAACCUACCUAACUCUUUCAGAACUACAAAGGCAAUCAAUCAGUUGACAUGCAUGGUGCAAAGCUUUUUCCUUAUGUUUGUCUGCAGAUUUGAGCUUUUCAGGGAUUUAGGGGGUUUAUUAGGAAAGGAAAUGUGUUUUGGAGACUGACUCAAAGAUUAAGAAGAUACGCUCCCAUAAAGUAUUCACAACAUAAUUCACCUUAUGAGUCCAACUCCAUUGAUGGACAACCAGCUAAUGUUACCUUUGAGAUUUUUAUUAUUUUAAAUGCAUAUUCUUACGUAAUAAUAAUCAUAAUAAUAAUAAUAAAUUCAGCUUAUAUAGCGCUUUUCUAAAUACUCAAAGUCGCUUAUUAACAGAGUGAACACAGAAUAAAAACAUUUAAUAAUAUCAUAUAUAAGUAAGAAGAUAAAAUAGGGUGAAAAUAGUUAUCUAAAAACUGAAAUAGGUAUAAAAGACUCGUUAAAAGGAGGGAGGGUAGAGAAGGGAAAGAG
ensembl:lncRNA